CUUAAUGGCAUUUCAGUUUCUUGAGGUUGUUGAGUUUAAUUUUCAUUAGUAAUUUCAGGAUCCUGAUUGGGGAGAUUUUCGAGAUUGUCUUGAACUGGAGUCGUUUGAUCCCUGUCAGGAAUGUGAACAUUCUGACCAAGAUCAACAACUUGUGUGAAAGACACAUGUUCUUCCUCAAAAACAAAAUCUCUAAAAACUUUAUCUCCCCACCCCCCAAACUCAAUAUCCUCACAGAACCUAGCAUUACCCGUUUCAAAAAUAGUUCGUGAUGUGGGAUCAUAAAACUUAAAACCCC
rnacentral:lncRNA from 1 species